UGUUCCAGAUCUGGCUGAGACCGGCAUGUGACCAAAUGACGAAUGUUUUCUGUUCUUUUGCUGAACCUCUGAACAGGUGAAAAGUGCCCUGCCAUCUGCAGCCAAGCAGACCUCCAUAACCUGAAACCUGGGGACUGGGUUCUCAUUAAGGGUCCCAUCUGUUCACUGGAAACAGAGGCUGGCCACUGAGUAACACAAGGGUUAACACAAGGGUUCCCGCAAGCAAUUGUCAGCUUAUCCAAGAGCCCUGCAACGAAACAGACCCACCUGCACGCCACACUGACUGGGAGACAGCUCAAAGAGCUAAACAAAACCAAGUCACCAGAACGUGCUGAAGUUUAAUCUGGACUGUAAGCGAUCACCGCUCCAUGGUAAACAACUGAACAAGGUGUGAUAUAGCUCAAUCUUCCAAACGUAGAGUGUCAAGCUCCAACAAGUGAUGUGCAAAAGAGUGUUUGUAACACCGAGACAGAUAACCUAACCUUACCUUACAGUUAAAAUCUGAGGGAUGCAUUGUUUCUAUGUGUUUUUGCAUGUAUGUAGCCCUAUGUGAAUGCAUGGGAGAGAGGGAAGAGAUAGGGUUUAGAGAUCGACAGCCAACUCUCCCUAACCGCCAGCAUUGCUGCAACAAUGCUUUUCACUCAGAAGGCAGCACAGGUUCUGGUCCAGGCUCUUGUCAUCUCAUGCCCAGAGUACUGCAACUCCCCCCUGGCUGGUCUCCCUGCUAGUGCCAUCCGACAUCUGCAGCUCAUCCAGAAUGUGGCAGCUCAACUGGUCUUCAACCUACCUACGUUUUCUCAGACUGCACCAGGACUUGGCUCCCUUCACUGGUUACCAGUGGCUGCCCAUAUCUGCUUAAAGACACUAGUACUUGAGUACUGGGAUCCAAAUGGAUUGGGCACAGCCUACAUCCAGGACAUGGUUAAACCUUACACCCCAGCACCCCAGUCUAUGCUGCUCUGCAUUGGCCAUUCGGCUUGCUGCUCCCUCACUGCGAGGGACAUCUAGUCACUCAACAAAAUCAUGACUGUUUACUGUUCUGGCUCCCAAAUGGUGGAACGAACCCCUUGACAUCAGAACAGCACAAAGUCUUCACAUCUUCCACUACAGGCUAAAAACACAUAUUUUCCGAAGACACCUUGGCUAAGAAGAUUGAUUGUAUAAUAAUAAAAAAAAUAGUUGCACUUAUAUGCUACAUGUUAGUUCAUGUGGCACUUUGUAGUUUGGCUUUUGUGAAGCUUAUGUACUUACAUGAUUCUUGCUGAUCUCAGUUUGUUUGGUUCAAUGCACUUAUUGGAAGUUGAUUUGAAAAAAGGGUCAAUUAAAUGAUAUGUAAUGUAUGUAAUGCUUAUAUUUAAAAGUAAGAUGCAAUUUAGCCAAAAAAGACAAUAACAUUUUGGCACCUGUAAUUUGCUCUUCCCCUGCAGCAGCUGAGUGUGCAGCAGCUCUCUGUUUUUGAUGGCAGCACCCAACUCGCCCUGCAAAGCAUCAGACCUCUCAUGACCAAACACAGAGUCCAGCAGGUCUCCCUUCACAUGCAGCAGACUGAAAUGCUCCUGCAACUGGACACCAUCCUUCAGCAGGCGCUAACAAAAGGAAACACAUUAUCACAAUGUUGCAUUAAAAAAAAUACCUCAACACUAUACACUAAACUAAACUAAACACUAGAAUUAGGUGUUUACAGAAAUAUUAUACACUUGCUAAUGCAACUUCUUGAUCCAAUUUACAUACUUACCCACACAACGUUUCCGGUUCUACUACAGACAAUCUCUCCAUAUAGAAUUUCAUACAGAACUACAUACAGACUUUAACAGCACUAUAGUUCUGCCACACUGAAACAACUAAAACAAGCUUGAUUACCUCAGAUUUAGUUAGCCAUGCGGCAGUUUACAGGCAGCAUGCUGAUUGUAGAAAAGUCAACCAGAGCAGUGACUGCAGAAUUCAAUGUCUCUCAUUCAACUACCAGCAGUGUACGAUUUCUUUAAGCAUUUGGCUGAAAUAUGAAUCAUCUGCGCGUCUGCUGACAAUGUGUCACCACACUAGCACAAGGACCAUUAGUUAUGAAAGUGGACCAUUACUUUUUUUAACAGUAGAUUGAGACAGGAAAUAUUACUUUGUACAGUAUCUGUGAAAGUGCCACUUCUUGAUGUUGGACACACAGUUCAAGUUAAAGAGGACUUUUUCUGCAUGAAUGAGGAAGGCAAUUUAAAUAUUUCUGAAGGAUGUCUGUGUGUUUUACCUCUAUGUUCUGGACUAUCAUGGCAAUAUGGGAGAAGUCAGUAACCUCAGCAGAUGCCUCCAACACCUGAGGAACCAUGUGGCUCCAUUGGGUGUAGACCAGCAGUGGGUCCUGGAGAAUAUUUCUCAGUCCUGACUGCAGCUCUGAACACAGCCUGGUUGCUCUAGAUUUCACACUGCAACAAAAGCACACAACAGAUUUACAAUCAAGAUUCUUGUAGAAGGAAUUUAAAAGCAGUCAGUGUUUAUUUUUAUAUAUUAUGUACAGUAUACAACAAAACAGAGUACAAUCCUAGUCAGUAUAACUAAAAUGUAAAUAAUUUAUGAAUCCUGUAUAUUCAAUUCCAUUUAAACCCUCUGGAGUCUCAGCCAUUUCUCCCUAUUUUUGGUUUGCCUAGUCUCCUUGUGUAAUAAUGCUUGUAUGACCUCAACUCUGUAAGGCACAAUCAAGUUAUAUCACUUUUUUUUUUCAGGACAGCCAGGGCUGUUACAAUAUGUAUACUGCAGUGAUGUUCCAUGAAUAUAUAUAAAUAUCUAUAUAAUCAUAAAGACAGAAGAAAAUAUCAAAUGGAAAUUGAAUCUUAUUGAAAUCUCCUUAAAUAACACGGAGAACAAUAAUGAACACGAUUUUUGGCUUUAGGAAAUUGUUUCCCCAAUUCUGGGUAAUCAGGAGAAAAACAUGAACACACAACAAAAAGUAUUCACAUUCUUUCCAAGAUGUGUCCUUCUGUUUAUAUUUACAACACAGUUGUGCCAUGCCUCAAAGCUGAUCCUAUCGUCAAUGAGACGGGGCUACAUCAAACCACUUCUACUACUACUACUACUACUACAACUGAUUUGGAGGAACCAUUGAGGGUUUUCACAAUGGUAAAACAAUAGCAAUUUCCGUUGUAAGAUGGGUGUUUCCUUCAUCAACAACUGGCGUUUGACUACUGACAGAGUGAACAGGGUUAAUACAGGCAAAGCAAAUGCAAUAGCCCUAGUAUUUGUGAAGUGGAGUGAAGUUAGCCAAUUACUCUCCCUGGUUUAUAAGGCAGUAGGAGAGCUACCAUGGGGAGAGAGGGAAGAGACUGGACAAUGAGC